AGACAUCUGUGUUCUGGGUGGAUCCUCUCUCCUCUCUCUGAGACUGGGUGUCCGUUUGCCGCGUGGGCGGCAUCUCUGGAUGGCAGCCACCAUGCAUUUCCGCCUUGCUGACACAGCGCCUUUGGGUGCCCAUCUGGCUCCGACCUGGGGAUAGAUGGAGCCCUGACUUCCACUGCUCCUCUGACCUCUGCUCUCCGGAUGCCCGAUGCAGGCUCUGCUUACUGCGGCUUGGGACCUGGUGGGAUGAUCGUAAUGAGGUUUAAGUGGCCAGAAGGCCACCCAGCUGUUUUAAGGAGUGUGGCCCCACCAAGCAGCACUAUUGGUUUUGGAGUUGAAAAAAAAUCCGACAUCUGGUUGGCUUCAGUUUCCUUACCUGAAAAAUGGGAUAAUAAUGUACCUUCCUCACAGGUUUAUUGUGAGGAUAAAAUAGGGGGGAUAUGUUUAAAGUGCUUAGUUUUGUGCCUGGCUGCACACACUAAGCUUCACCUCGGUGUGCUAUUAUUAUUGGUGGUGGUGAUGUUACGUGGAGGUGGUGUUAUGGUGGUUGUGGUUCCUGCUGUAGUCUCAGCAUCCAGCACCACGCCCGGAGCAUUGUUGACCCUCUGUCCAUCUGCAGCCAGCAUACAGAAAGAACUUGGUGAUGACAUACCUCUUUUCAUUUCGGAAUUCCUUGCCCUUGUUCCCUCCUUUUUUUUUUUUUUUUUUAUCUUGACUGCCUCUAACUUCUUGUUUAUGUUGUGUGCCCUUGAAGCAAACUUUCUGAGACCUGGUGAAUAAAAAUCCUCGGAGGCAUGUAGAGAUGUUUUCAGUAGCAAAAGUUCACAUCCUCUCUCUUGCCUGGCCCCAGAGAACAUCUAUUCACUUGCUACACUUUACACCUACUACCCGAAAAAGCCAAUUAGAAUUGCUUACUUAAGAAAAUACCUAAGAAUCCGUAGGGCUGCCCCUGUUCAUUGUGUGCAUUGUGUGACCCUGAAGCUACACUUGAGACGUCUCCGCCUAGUGAAUGUGUCCUUCUGGGAUGCUCUGCAGCGUUUCUACUUGUAUUUAGAAAAGCUGGCUUAAAACUCUUAGGUUUAAUAUUCUGUAUCCCAAAUGCUCUUAGUUGUCAGUAAAACUAAGCCUGCCUACACACUCUUCUAUUCUUGAUUUAUAAAUAGGUUCAGCUGCCUAACAAUUAAACGUACUAUAUUUUGCACACGCAUAUUCCUUAAGGAGACAUUUGGAGGGUAGUUGGCUUUUACUCUUGCAAUGCUAUCUGGAAACCAUCUUCCUUUUAUCCCCAAGUGGGUGUAUAGUUCACUGUUGAACAACGUGGGGGUUAGGGGCCCUGACCCCUGUGCAGUCAAAAAUCUGCCUAUAACUUUUGACUCCCCCAAACUUUACUAAUAGACUGUUGUCUAGAAGUAACAUAAACAGACCAUGAACACAUAUUUUGUAUGCUAUAUGUAUUAUAUGCUGUAUUCUCACAAUAAAGGAAGCUAGAGAA